GCUCUGUGAGACUGCACUUUGGCACAGCGGUGCUUUGAGAUAAAUGCUAUCAUUAGCAUGAUAAUAUGCUCACAAUUACAAUGCUAACAUAUGGAUUUUUAGCAAGUAUACUAUAUUCAGCAUAGUGUGUUAGCAUGCUAAAAAUGCUAAUUAACACUAAACAGAAACUAUAGCUGAGGCUGAUGGGAAUGUCAUUAGUUUUGGAGGUAUUUGUGUUUCCAAAUGAAACAGUGAA